CCGUCAUAUCCCUAAUAACAAAUUCAUUUUUUAUGUGGAGGAUAUUUUUCUGUUAAAACUACUAAUGUUUUGACUCUUUUCUACAGAUAUACGAGGUUGUGGAGAAGACAACAUCUGGCAGCUAAUGAAAAAGUCAAACUACAUUACCAAGGAUGGGAACGCUCCUCUGCACCUCUUUCCUGGAGAAGUCUGGCCAUGUGUGAUCCAAAAGUAACACCUGAGGAGAUCAGUCCUCUCCAACUGGAGUUACAGACCCUCACGGCCUCCUCCAAGGAUUUGGGUUACUCAGAGAGAGGUCUACUUAAGCUGGGCCCUCAGGUCUGCAGUGCUACUGCCUCCACAUGCUCAACCACGUCCUGAAGGCCAACUCUCAAGUACUGUCACAAAAUGCCCAGCUGAAGGAGCAGAGAAGAACAUCUGCAGCUGAGUUCCAGGAUCAACUCAGAGAACAGGGACUGAGCAGGUCUGAGGUAACCCAGAGCAAACCCAGCAGUUCUGGAUGCAUGUACAUCCGUGUCUUUGAAGACUGCAGUUCUUUUUUAAUAUUUUGGCUGAAAACAUCAUAAUCAUAAUAAUUUUGGCUAAAAGAUUCCGUAAGAAAGCGGAAGAAAAAUAAACAAAGCUAAAACAAUAUAGAACCUUUUUUGCUGUUUGGGCUGUGUGUGUCCUUUUGUGUCGUUUUUGUUUUGCUACACACUGCUCAUGUCUGUUUGGGCUUAGGCCCUUCUUUUGAGGCUUCUUAGGGCUUUUUACAUUUUU